GCAUUCCUGGCUUCAAGUGAUCACCCGCCUUGGCCUCCCAAAGUGCUGGGAAUACCGGCGGGAGGUACCGCGCCCAGCCUCCUUCACUUUUCUGUGACUUCCAGAGCAGACAAUACAUAAGACACCGGGAGAGAUGCCUGCAGGUGAGUAGACAGGGUUCUCCUUGGCUUCCUUUGAGUCUCAAGGAAGUCACUGAAGCAGCGGGCCCAGCUGCCUUUUACGCCUCACGCCAGCCUCCAGACACACCCAUUGCACCAUGUACUGCUACUUGGCAAACUUUGUCACGGAAAUCCAAUGUUUCCAGUUUCUGGGUCCCGAAACUCUUCCCAUGCAAGCUCUAGGACAAUCUCUUUUUCUCCAGUCUCCACUUCAAGGCUCAGUUGUUUUCCACCUAUGGCCCUUAGGGCCAGCCCGAGGCUACACUUGCCAGCCAGAGAGGCUGCGGCAAGCAGCGUUUAUGCUCCAUAGUCCCAGGUGAGGAAGACGAAGCCUUUUUUGUCAUAGAUCUUCAUUUCUUUUCUUAAAUGUCUUUUAAAAAUAUGCCUAUGUAAUUUUUUAAAGGAUUCGAAAUCUAUGUAGCCCAGUAAUAAGCCCUUAGUUUGUAACUUCGAUUGUAUUUUCUUUGGAUUAUCAUUUGCCGUUUUAAAACCUUGGAUAAAAUCUGUGUAUUUCCUUUAUGAUUUCUGACAUCUCUAUCCUGCCUGGAAAUCCUUUUACCUUAGUAAUAGGCAAAUGCACCUAUAUAUCAUACCAGCACGACAUUGAAACCACCAGCUCAUAACCUCAGCGGGUAACCUUGUUGGUUUACCCAGCAGGAGUAAAGCCUGCCUCGGAAAUCUGAGGGUGGCCGCGAACCCACAAGUCAAGAUUCGCAGGUGCGCGCGCUAAGGACUGAGCUAUUGGGGCGAUGGAGAGAGUCUCGCUCUGCGUCAGGGACGGAAGGACGUGUCCCCCACCAGAAAAAGGAAAAAAAAAAAAAAAAAAAGAAAAAAGAAAAAAGGAAGCGGCGGCUCGUUGGUCUAGGGGUAUGAUUCUCGCUUUGGGUGCGAGAGGUCCCGGGUUCAAAUCCCGGACGAGCCCCCUUUUCCUUCUCUUUUUUCCCAUUUCGCAUUUUCAGCAAGGACAGGAGACUAGGAAGGCGGAGGGAGGCUGCUAUUGGCAGGGCCUCAGUGGAGACCUCCCGGGGUCCCGGGACGCAGACGGACGGGCCUGAAUCGCUCGCCUUGGUGAAAUGGGAUCCAGCGCUGCCAACUGCGGCAACUGCGGUUAAAGGAGACGACCCCGUGCAGCAGGAGGAGGUUAUUUAGAAUAAGGAAGAAUGCGCCGGGCUCAUUGGUCGCUACAGGGGCAUAAAUUUUUUCUAGGAUUCCAGAGUAUGGCUGCUCCAGUCCCAGAUUCGGCUCGACUUACAGACCUCAGCGCAGGACGUGGACGCCCUGCAAAGGAGGACAUUUCAGCGGACGGCAGAGAAUACAGAUUUAUGCCAGCGCCCUGCGGAAGGAGCCUCUGGCGGGUCAUCUCCAUUUAUGGGAGAUCGCAGAGCGGCUUGAGCUUUAUCGCUCCAAGUACUCCACGGCUGCCACAAAGAAAAGUAAAGG
rnacentral:lncRNA from 1 species